UACAGAGGUCUCAAGCGUUGUUCGGAAUCAUUGGGCUUAAAGAGUGCGUAGGCGCGCGACAAGUGAGGGGUGAAAUCCUGUCGGCUCAACCGUAGGGUGGCCAUUCAUACUGUCGCGCUCGAGGGAGGUAGGGGCCGGCGGAACUUCCAGUGGAGCGGUGAAAUGUGUUGAGAUUGGAAGGAACGCCAGUGGCGAAAGCGGCCGGCUGGAUCUCUACUGACGCUGAGGCACGAAAGCCAGGGGAGCAAACGGG
rnacentral:rRNA from 1 species